CAAUGGUAGUCAACGGCAACGGCAGGCUUGUAAGGUCAUGAAUAUCUGUCCUGAUAAAUAACACCAUGUGAUGUUGACGUCACCUGCAGGGUAAAAGUGCCAAGGAGAAGGUGGUGACCAGGAUCGUCGUGUCUCGCUGUGAGGUGGACCUCAUGAAGAUCAGGACAGAGUUUAAGAAACUGAACCAGAAGUCCCUGUACCAGACCAUCGCUGAGCACACUAAAGGAGACUACCAGAAGGUCCUGCUGAGUCUGUGUGGAGGAGACGACUAAAGUCCAACUGGCACCAACUGUCACCUUUACCCAGAAGCCAAUGCCUUGUUCCUAUUUUGAUUCAGUCUAGUGACACAGACAUUGAGAACUGGUGCCUCUAUCCACAACACCCAGCAGCAUUAGAGUCAUCAUUACUCAGAUUGCAUCACCUUUCUGUGGAGUAUGAGAUAUCCAACGGAAUUAUUGAUAGUAAAUGGUUUUUAUGCAAUGUUUUUUUUUUAAUUAAAUCAUUUUUUGUUAAAUAGCUUCCUUUCUUAUUUUUUUUAUUUUACAAUAUUACAGAGGUGUUGUCUUUAGGACAUUUUUCCCCAAGUAAAGUCAGACAUUUUGAAUGGUAAUUGUCGACUCUUGAUCCAACUAGUGUAUGUCCGUGUAUCGCCACUAGAGGGCGCUAGAGCAAUACCAUGCAGUUCUGCUUCCUUCAUCCUGGCCUUGUUUCCAUGGAGGUUGCUUUGAUAUCACUCUAAUGCUCUAAUAUCUUUUAAAUCAGAUGGGAAUGUUGAGUGCAAAAUGGAGCUUCACAAUGCUGUUGGAAAAACCUUUUGAUACUUUGCGGGGAGACAUGCAAACCAAGUUUUUAAGUGAAUUAUAUAAAAAAAAAUGUUUGAUGUUGUCAGUCAGUUUAAAAUUGUAAUCUAUUAGGAGUUCUCCCUCACUGUGGACAAUAAUCACAGUUUCAAAACUGGAACAUUGUCUAGAAAAUAUUGGUUCAUAGUUGCGACCCAAUAGACGACCGUAGCCAUACAGUAUAUUUGUGUUUAUGUAUCUGUGAACUCCGGUGAAUUCAUAAUAAAUCACAAUUGAUUCCUGUGGAAA